CAGAAUAUAGCUAGGGAGUAAGCAUCUCUUUUACACGGAGCUGAGGUUUGUGCAAUUCAAACUGUUCUGA
rnacentral:tRNA from 1 species